UCCUUAUUUCAUGGUUUCUUUCUCAACGAGUUCUUGGUUUUAUAGUGCCAUGUUUACGUCAGGAACCAUAGCAUUGAGAUGACGUUAUGUGUAAAUCAUUUCGGUGAGAAUAGAACAUUGUCCUACGCUGCAGAAACUCGUCAUCAUCGUCGUUGUCGUCAGCAUUUAGUGUCUGUUUUCCUUGCUGGUAUGGGUUGGACAGCUUGACGGGAACUGGCAAGGCCGGGACCACACCAUAUUACAUCAUCUGGUUUUGGUUUGCUUUCUACAGCUGGAUGCACCAGUGGAAUCUUGAGUGGACUCCAACUUGUGUGGCACAGCAGACAAAAUGCAUCAUGGAUUUUUUUUUUUUAUGACUCUUUAGAAUCUGAGUUCAAAUCCUGCCAAGAUCAACUGGUACUACCAAGGAGUUUGUAGCUGCAAUUCUAUUCUGGGAGUUCAACUCAGUAUUUCAGGACCAUUCUGACAUUCGUUUAUUCUUUUACUUGUUUCAGUCAUUUGACUGCAGCCAUGCUGGAGCACCACCUUUACUUGAGCAAAUCAACCUCAGAACUUAUUCUUUGUGACCAGUAUUGUAGUCCUUGUUGCUGCCAUCAUCCUCUCCAGCCCCACGUCUUAUAUUAGAUGUCAUCCAAGUGAUAGACAGAAAAACAAGAAUGAAGCCAGAAAGUUAUUCAUAUUAGCUGACAACAACACAGACCAACAACUCACUUACACAGAACUGGAAUCGGCUUUCAUGUCUUUUGAUU
rnacentral:lncRNA from 1 species